UUUUUUUUUUUUUUUUUUUUUUUAUGGUACUGCCACAGUUACCUAACAAACCCUCUCUGCCUGCACAAAAUCAGAGGAUGCUUAAGUUUCAGAUGUUGCUUCUGACUUGCAUAUUUUCUCAUGGCUUUCAAUUUUCUUUUCUGAAUUUGACAGGUUUUCAGCUCCAGUAGGAGGCUGACCAAAGCUGAGUGUCUGCAUUGCUGCCAUCAAAAGCUCAAGCUUUCAAGACUCAGGGAUCCACACCUUGGAUAUAUCAGCCCAGCCCGUCAUCUGCUGGUUUUUGGAAUUCUGUCAUUUGCACUGGAGUCAGCCUGGACCAGGCUUCCAUCUGCCCAUGAAGUAAUGUGCAGUCACAGCCCAGCUGAGUUUGCCUCGUUUUGUUGUCAGCAGCAGCAUUCUGAAGAUCACAGAGAUUUAAAGCGGAGUGGCAGCUGCUGUGCCAUCUCUCACCUGGCACAGGGCAUGUCUAAUCCACUCACUAAUAACCAAAUGUCAGCUGCAUGAGCCUAGAUUUGAACAAGCAUUCCUGUCCCUUGCAAUGCUAAAAUAGUAGCUACUACAAGAGUAGGAGUUUUCCUCACACACAAAAGUAGGAGAAGGGAUUAGAGACAGCCACAAACAAGGCAUAGAUGAAUAUAUGUUCCACCAGGAGCCCACCAGAUAUUUGACCUCAGGUUCACAUUUCUGUAAACAUGUAUCUUGGCAAUGUAUCAUUCAGUUCCUCAAUAUGAUGCAAUAAAAGCCAUUUCUCAUUCA